UUGAAGAGUUUGAUCAUGGCUCAGAUUGAACGCUGGCGGCAGGCCUAACACAUGCAAGUCGAACGGAAACAUGUCUAGCUUGCUAGAUGAUGUCGAGUGGCGGACGGGUGAGUAAUGCUUGGGAACUUGCCUUUGCGAGGGGGAUAACAGUUGGAAACGACUGCUAAUACCGCAUAAUGUCUUCGGACCAAACGGGGCUUCGGCUCCGGCGCAAAGAGAGGCCCAAGUGAGAUUAGCUAGUUGGUGAGGUAAAGGCUCACCAAGGCAACGAUCUCUAGCUGUUCUGAGAGGAAGAUCAGCCACACUGGGACUGAGACACGGCCCAGACUCCUAC
rnacentral:rRNA from 1 species